rnacentral:rRNA from 1 species
GACGAACGCUGGCGGCGUGCUUAACACAUGCAAGUCGAACGAAGAGCGAUGGAAGCUUGCUUCUAUCAAUCUUAGUGGCGAACGGGUGAGUAACGCGUAAUCAACCUGCCCUUCAGAGGGGGACAACAGUUGGAAACGACUGCUAAUACCGCAUACGAUCUGACCUCGGCAUCGAGGAGAGAUGAAAGGUGGCCUCUAUUUAUAUGCUAUCACUGAAGGAGGGGUUUGCGCCUGAUUAGCUAGUUGGGGGGGUAACGGCCCACCAAGGCGAUGAUCAGUAGCCGGCCUGAGAGGGUGAGCGGCCACACUGGAACUGAGACACGGCCCAGACUCCUACGGGAGGCAGAAGUGGGGAAUCUUCCGCAAAGGGCGAAAGCCUGACGGAGCAACGCCGCGUGAGUGAUGACGGUCUUGGGAUGGUAAAACUCUGUUAGUAGGGAAGAACGUAUUUGUAAGAAAUUGUUAAAAGCUUGACGGUACCUAAUAAGAAAGCCACGGCUAACUACGUG